rfam:Brachypodium distachyon strain Bd21 chromosome 3, whole genome shotgun sequence.
UUUGUACUCCCUCCAUCCCAUAUUAAGUUACUCAAAUUUGUCCAAAUAUGUAUGUGUCUAUACCUAAAAAACGUCUAGAUGCAUGUAAUAUUUCGGCACUUAAUAUAGGAUGGAGGGAGUACUAU